rnacentral:rRNA from 1 species
UACGAGGGGGGCAAGCGUUGUUCGGAAUUAUUGGGCGUAAAGGGCGCGUAGGCGGCUCAUGAAGGCUGUGGUGAAAGUCCGGGGCUCAACCUCGGAUCGGCCGUGGCGACUCGUGGGCUGGAGCACUGUAGAGGCGGGUGGAAUUCCGGGUGUAGCGGUGGAAUGCGUAGAGAUCGGGAGGAAGGCCGGUGGCGAAGGCGGCGCUCUGGAACGUUUCUGACACUGAGGCUCGAAAGCGUGGGGAGCAAACAGG